CCUAAUACAUGCAAGUCGAGCGAGCGGAACCAACAGAUUUACUUCGGUAAUGACGUUGGGAAAGCGAGCGGCGGAUGGGUGAGUAACACGUGGGGAACCUGCCCCUAAGUCUGGGAUACCAUUUGGAAACAGGUGCUAAUACCGGAUAAUAAAGCAGAUCGCAUGAUCAGCUUUUGAAAGGCGGCGUAAGCUGUCGCUAAGGGAUGGCCCCGCGGUGCAUUAGCUAGUUGGUAAGGUAACGGCUUACCAAGGCGACGAUGCAUAGCCGAGUUGAGAGACUGAUCGGCCACAUUGGGACUGAGACACGGCCCAAACUCCUACGGGAGGCAGCAGUAGGGAAUCUUCCACAAUGGACGCAAGUCUGAUGGAGCAACGCCGCGUGAGUGAAGAAGGUUUUCGGAUCGUAAAGCUCUGUUGUUGGUGAAGAAGGGUAGAGGUAGUAACUGGCCUUUAUUUGACGGUAAUCAACCAGAAAGUCACGGCUAACUACGUGCCAGCAGCCGCGGUAAUACGUGGGUGGCAAGCGUUGUCCGGAUUUAUUGGGCGUAAAGCGAGCGCAGGCGGAAAAAUAAGUCUAAUGUGAAAGCCCUCGGCUUAACCGAGGAACUGCAUCGGAAACUGUUUUUCUUGAGUGCAGAAGAGGAGAGUGGAACUCCAUGUGUAGCGGUGGAAUGCGUAGAUAUAUGGAAGAACACCAGUGGCGAAGGCGGCUCUCUGGUCUGCAACUGACGCUGAGGCU
rnacentral:rRNA from 1 species